rnacentral:rRNA from 1 species
AGGUAGCGAAAUUCCUUGUCGGGUAAGUUCCGACCUGCACGAAUGGCGUAACGACGGCCACACUGUCUCCACCCGAGACUCAGUGAAAUUGAAAUCGCUGUUAAGAUGCAGUGUAUCCGCGGCUAGACGGAAAGACCCCGUGAACCUUUACUAUAGCUUCACAGUGAACUUUGAACCUAUUUGUGUAGGAUAGGUGGGAGGCUUUGAAACUGGGACGCUAGUCUCAGUGGAGCCAAACUUGAAAUACCACCCUGGUAUGUUUGAGGUUCUAACUCAGGUCCGUAAUCCGGAUCGAGGACACUGUGUGGUGGGUAGUUUGACUGGGGCGGUCUCCUCCCAAAGAGUAACGGAGGAGCACGAAGGUAUGCUAAUCAUGGUCGGAAAUCAUGAGGUUAGUGCAAUGGCAUAAGCAUGCUUAACUGCGAGACAGACACGUCGAGCAGAUACGAAAGUAGGUCAUAGUGAUCCGGUGGUUCUGAAUGGAAGGGCCAUCGCUCAACGGAUAAAAGGUACUCCGGGGAUAACAGGCUGAUACCGCCCAAGAGUUCACAUCGACGGCGGUGUUUGGCACCUCGAUGUCGGCUCAUCACAUCCUGGGGCUGAAGCCGGUCCCAAGGGUAUGGCUGUUCGCCAUUUAAAGUGGUACGCGAGCUGGGUUUAGAACGUCGUGAGACAGUUCGGUCCCUAUCUGCCGUGGACGUUUGAGAUUUGAGAAGAGUUGCUCCUAGUACGAGAGGACCGGAGUGAACGAACCUCUGGUGUUCCGGUUGUCACGCCAGUGGCAUUGCCGGGUAGCUACGUUCGGACAGGAUAACCGCUGAAAGCAUCUAAGCGGGAAGCCCCCUUCAAGAUGAGAUCUCACAGGACUUUAAGUCCCUAAAGAGCCGUUCAAGACUAGGACGUUGAUAGGUUGGGUGUGUAAGCACGGUAACGUGUUGAGCUAACCAAUACUAAUUGCUCGUGAGGCUUGACCAU